AUGCUCCCUUCGGCUGUGUACAUAUUAAAAUUGAAGUGGCACAAAUGAGAUGUAGCAUGGCCCCUGCACAAGGAAGACAGAGAUAUUCAUGAAGUGUUCCAUAUUUUG
ensembl:snRNA U6 U6 spliceosomal RNA